rnacentral:lncRNA from 1 species
UUGAAAACAUUCAUGGAGCUAUUGUGAGUUUUCAUGGUGUUCUUCAAUGUUCUUGAAGUUCUUGCCAAGAACAAAAGGGUUUGAAGUUUGAUUCUAAAGUUUUAUGUUUUUCAUAAAGUUUUGGUUUAUUAAUCGAUGGUUGAUGGUUAUUGGUGAGAUGUGAUGAAAUGGUUUUAAUGAUUUGUCAUAGAUCUUUUUUUUUUUUCUUACAAACCAUCAAUUUCACCAAUAACUCACCCACCAAAAUCCACUUGCAUUUUGCACAUGCAUGCUCAACUUGCAUAAAACCCUUUCACACUACUUUACCUCUCUAAAAACCGGCCACCCCCUAGUGGGGGUACUUUUGGGGUCUUUUAUGCAAUUACAUAAAGUUUUGACACUUUUGUGUAUUUGCACUUUGGCCCAAAAGUUUACGUUUUUACGUUAAGGCCCUAAAACGCUAAAGGACGAAUUGUUUUGAUCCUUUAAUGAUGUUUUUACAUUAAUAAAAUUUUGGGAUCUAGUUGUAAUUACAUGAAGUUGUGGACUAUUGUGUUUUUACAAAGUGACCCCAAAAGUUUUUGUAUUUGCAUUAUGGCCCAAUUGUUGUGGUCAUAGUUUCCUUUUGGCCCAAAUAAAAUGAGAACAAAAUUGUUUUGUCUCUUUAAUGAGAAUUGGAUUUUCAUUUUAUUUAGUUCCAUUUAAAUCAAUUCUAUGGAUCCAAAAACCAAUUGUUUAAGUUGCUUUCUUAGUUAAUGUGAUUAAUUGAGAAAAGGGUGAUUAUGAACCAAAGGCCUCGAUAAUUGAGCUAUGUGAUUGGCCGCUUUACAUUAUGAAUGUUUGGGUUUUAGUAGUAUAGAUUUGAAUGUAAUUUGUUUAAUUCAAUUUGUUGUAAAUGGACAUAAGUCCAUCAUUUGAUUUGUGUUGUAAAAGGGCAUAAGCCCUUCUUAUUAUUUCAUGUAUUCCUUUUGUUUAUAUGUAUGCAAAAUGGAAUAGUUGGGUCCAACGCCCAAUAGGAAAUAACGGUUUAAUUGGAUUAAACGCGUAACUAAAAUCAACAACUAUCUACCUCAAACCCAAGGUCCAACACAAGGCUCGUGUUGGAUCAAAUUAAUCGGUUCAUAAUCAUCCUAAAACCUAAUAUGACUAUAUAGUCCAUAUGAGGAUGCAAUGCAUUCGUUAGUAGUUCUAUAUAGUCUCGCUUGUUUCUUCGAAAUAGUGGGAGUAUUAUAAACUACUAAUUCAUAUUAACUUGGACCAAUGGUUGUGAUAGGCCCAAGUUCUUUUAAUGUGAUUAAAAUGUUUUGAUGUAGCCCAAAACUACUCCCUCAAAACGAAUAUUAAGUUGAUAAGCGAGAUAUGCUUUGAACAUCUCUUCGUAGGCCUUCCACCAUGGUGGGAUCCAAUCGUUUGUGACUCAUGCACCGGCUUGACCCUAUAAUGGGGAAGUUCAAAGUAUGUGCUUACAUCCAGGAGGAACCCAUAAACAUAUGAUGAGGUGAGUGUAGACAACGAGUAUGACCAACAUGAUAUAAUUCUGAGGUUGUGCUUGAACCUCUACAUAAACUAAGCAUGGUGGGAAUGACUUAACUAAGUGCAAUGGUGCCAACAUGAUAUAAUUCUGAGGUAAUCAUUCUCUAGAGGCCAAACAAGAUGGGUAAUUACAAGAGUUGUAAAUGAAUAAUGCAUUAUUUCUCUCAUCAUUAUUUUUUGCUAACCAACAUGAUAUAAUUCUGAGGUGGGCUUGGUAAUGGUAAGUCUCCUAUACCCCGCUAAGAGUUCAAUAUAACUCUCGAAUUCUAUUGAGGGAUGUGGAAUUUGCCAAAAUAGUGGGUGGUACUAUUUGAUUCAAAGACCCAAUCAAAUAGUUUUAAACAAACAAUCUAAUACGAUUUCUGUUAUGUUAUGUAGUGAACGACAUGCCUAAAAUUAUACCCACCAUUGUACUUGACAAAAGGGGCCUUAAGGGCCAACAUUUCCUUGCUUGGUAUCGCCAUAUUGAGAAUGUCUCAAAGGUGAAAGACAUAUUGUAUGUGCUU